AAUAUCCUGCUGCUAAAAUAACGUUAAUGAAGCCUCGUUUGGCCAUCACUAAAGUAAACAGUUUCAUUUUAGGCUUCCCAUAGCUACAGAAGGUUGUAGCCAGCGAAGGUUUUGUUUAUUUUCCACAAAUCCUCUUUUGCAACUGGCCGUUUUAACAGCUAAUUAGCCAUUCGUGAAUGACAUUGAGUAUCUAUCAAUAUAGAUGACGAUAACUGACUCUUCUCAAGUGAAAGGACGAGAGAAUCGUGUAGGCAGCGAAGUGUUUGUUUAUCCUGAACAAAUCCUUAUAUACACUAGAACUAUUUUAUUUUAGGCAGGCAGGCAGGCAGGCAGGCAGGCAGGCAGGCAGGCAGGCAGGCAGUGAUGGACGGACUGAUUAUGAGACAUUCACUCUUCUAGGCCGGGUCCGUUUACGCAGUCUGGCAAAAGGUGAGUCUGGUUUACAAACUACAUUGUGUAAUGUGUUGUUUGGUGUGUGUUUGUGCUCUGUUACUCACAUUCAAACUCAAGUGUCAGGAAGCCAUGACAACACGUAUGGAUGUGCCAUCCUGGAGGAGCUGGACUACCUGUACAACCUGAAUGGGCUGCAGGUACCACCUCAUCCUACCAGUAGUGACAAGGACACUAGCAAAACGCAACUUGGAACAGCACAGACUGUGUUCUAACAUACAAGUACUAAUACGCUUUAGCCAGGAUUCACAGACAAGUGGCAAGUAAACAAAAUCCUCAAUUUUUGUAUUGAAACCAGAAAAGGAACAAGACAAGACUAGUUCUGCCAGCUCACCAUUAGAGGGGAUGAAUUUUGUUGGCCAAGCUGUAUUCGAUCCACAGUUUACUAUAGGCGUGUUCACACUGCACCUUAGCCUAGGGCUAAAAGCUUUCUAAGCCCUGGGCUAAGCAAGUGUUCACACUUGUAUAUUUUGAAGUGGGCUAGCACCACCAUUAGCAUUGGUUAUUUUGACACCGUAUUUCUGGGGCAAGCCCCGAAAAGUCGGUGCUAACCCUACUCCGGAGCAGGACCAGCUAGCCACACAAACACGGUGCCAAAAUAACCAGUGUGAAACGGGGUCAAGAAUAAAACCAUAGAAUGUUUAUUGUUGGCUCUGUCAACCAACUCUUCAAUGUCUGUCUAUUAUGAUCUGUUUGACACAUGCUCACUCACUUUAAAAAGCAGACAGGGAUGAGUGAUUAAUGUUAGCAAUUAUUAGCUACAUAUUUUCUGUGUGUGUGUAUGUGUGUGUGAUGCAUAAGCUAGGAAUUAUAGACCCAAACCAUUUUCUCUAAAAUAUAGGAUAUGGUUUAAAUAAGGUAUGAAUGGUAAACGCAUUCCCAUAGCAAGUUAUUUAGGUAUACACCAUAACUUAACCCUAACCCUUCAAAGAGGAAAAGCAGCAUAGAUAGAAUGAUGGAACAGUUCAUUGAGCAUCAGGACAGGUCAAGGAUGGAGUUGUCCUGGAUGCAGGUGCAAGAGGAGGCGAGAGAACAGAGAGAGGAAGAACGAAGAAAAGAGGAGAGGUAACAUGAGCUCCAACUUUUCUCCCUUCUGAUGAAUCAGACCCAUGCAUCUAAUCACACCACUGGCAUCUCUGUAACUAUAACAAAAU
ensembl:lncRNA